rnacentral:rRNA from 1 species
GUAACAGCUCACUGGUCGAGCGACCUCGCGCCUAAGAUAAUCGGGGCUUAAGCCUAUUACCGAAGCUAUGGGUUCAGUUUUGCCUUUGGCAAAAAUGAGCGGUAGGGGAGCAUACUCUGACGAGUGAAGGUGUACCGUGAGGAGCACUGGACGUCAGAGUAGAGAUUAUGUCGGUAUGAGUAGCGAAAACACCUGCGAGAAACAGGUGCACCGAAAGUCUAAGGUUUCCUGGGGAAGGUUAAUCCGCCCAGGGUUAGUCGAGCCUAAGCCGAGGCCAAAUGGCGUAGGCGAUGGAUAAUCCGUUAAUAUUCGGAUACCAGUCAGGUGGCGUUAAAACUUUUUGUAUGACGUGGCGUGUUUAGGCCGGCGCAGUGUUGGAUGUCUGCGUUCUUUCCUGAGAAAUCAGGAGAGGGGAUCCCGUGCAAAUCGCACGGGCGAAUUGUUCUAAAACGUGCUGCCAAGAAAAGUACAAAAAGGAGUUGCUUGACUGUUCGUACCGGAAUCCGACACAGGUAGACCUCCAAAAUAUGGUAAGGUGCUCGAGAUAACCCUCGUUAAGGAACUCGGCAAAUUAGCCUCGUAAGUUAGCGAUAAGAGGUGCCCUUCAUUGAAAGGUGUAAGGGCCUCAGUAAAGUGGAUCGGGUGACUGUUUAGCAAAAACACAGCACUCUGCAAACUCGAAAGAGGAAGUAUAGGGUGUGAUACCUGCCCGGUGCUGGAAGGUUAAGGAGAGGAGUCAGCUUUUCGUAAGAUUAGCGAAGCCCUGAACCGAAGCCCCAGUAAACGGCGGCUGUAACUAUAACAGUCCUAAGGUAGCGAAAUUCCUUGUCGGGUAAGUUCCGACCUGCACGAAUGGUGUAACAAUAUGGGCGCUGUCUCAACGAGGGGCUCGGCGAAAUUGUAGUGGCGGUGAAGAUGCCGUCUACCCGCGACAAGACGAAAAGACCCCGAAACCUUUACUGUAUCCUGGUACUGGACUUUGGUCCGGUAUGUGUAGAAUAGGUGGGAGGCUGUGAAGGCUCGCCGCUAGGUGAGCCAGAGCCAACAGUGAAAUACCACCCUUAUCGUACUAGAGUUCUAACCUAUAGACUUUAAUCAGCCGUAGGGACAAUGCCAGGUGGGCAGUUUAACUGGGGCGGUUGCCUCCUAAAGAGUAACGGAGGCGCCCGAAGGUUCCCUCAGUGCGGUUGGCAAUCGCACGUUGAGUGUAAAGGCACAAGGGAGCUUAACUGUGAGACAUACAAGUCGAGCAGAUGCGAAAGCAGGGCUUAAUGAUCCGGCGGUAACAUGUGGGAGUGCCGUCGCUCAUCGGAUAAUAGGUACUUCGGGGAUAACAGGCUUAUCGGGCCCAAGAGUUCAUAUCGACGGCCCGGUUUGGCACCUCGAUGUCGGCUCAUCGCAUCCUGGGGCUGGAGAAGGUCCCAAGGGUUUGGCUGUUCGCCAAUUAAAGCGGUACGUGAGCUGGGUUCAGAACGUCGUGAG